CAACGGAACACCCUUAAAGGAGGCUAGGCAGCAGAUGCACUACACCGGUGUAAGACUGACUUCAUUUACUUUAGCAUGAAUGUAACAGCCUACCUACCGGCACAAUGUUUGACCCAUAUCUGGCCCUUUAGAUAAGUAAUACCACAGCCAGUUGAACUCGAGGUGCAGCAGAGCUAAAUUGUGCUGAAAGCGAAAUAAAGAGUGAAACCACGAUCUGCCAGAGGCGCUCCAUGGAUAGGGUAUAUGUUUCAAUGUUGGAUCCAACGAUAACACACCAGGCAUAGAUAAUUAAGGUUCAAUUGAAAAAAGCUUGGGAAAGCGGCCAUCUUGGAAAAUGAAAAAAAGCAGUUUUUUCAGUUGAAGCAAUGUUUUCGGGGCAUUU